rnacentral:rRNA from 1 species
UGGGGAAUAUUGGACAAUGGGGGCAACCCUGAUCCAGCCAUGCCGCGUGAGUGAUGAAGGCCUUCGGGUUGUAAAGCUCUUUUGGCGGGGACGAUGAUGACGGUACCCGCAGAAUAAGCCCCGGCUAACUUCGUGCCAGCAGCCGCGGUAAGGCGAAGGGGGCAAGCGUUGUUCGGAAUUACUGGGCGUAAAGGGCGCGUAGGCGGUUUGCUUAGUCAGGUGUGAAAGCCCUGGGCUUAACCUGGGAUGUGCGCUUGAUACUGGCAGGCUUUAGUGUGGGAGAGGUUGGUGGAAUUCCCAGUGUAGAGGUGAAAUUCGUAGAUAUUGGGAAGAACACCGGUGGCGAAGGCGGCCAACUGGACCACAACUGACGCUGAGGCGCGAAAGCGUGGGGAGCAAACA